AUUGAACGCUGGCGGCGUGCUUAACACAUGCAAGUCGAUCGGUAACGCGGGGGCAACCCUGGCGACGAGAGGCGGACGGGUGAGGAACGCUUGGGAAUCUGCCUAUCAGCGGGGGACAACACGGGGAAACUCGUGCUAAUACCGCAUACGCUCUACGGAGGAAAGCCGGGGACCGCAAGGCCUGGCACUGAUAGAUCAGCCGAAGCCGGAUUAGCUAGUGGGCGGGGAAACGGCCCACCAAGGCGACGACUCCGUAGCGGGUCUGAGGGGACGAUCAGCCACACUGGAACGGAGACACGGUCCAGACUCCUACGGGAGGCAGCAGUGGGGAAUAUUGAACAAUGGGGGAAACCCUGAUCCAGCGACGCCGCGUGGGUGAAGAAGGCCUGCGGGUUGUAAAGCCCUUUCGGUAGGGACGAAAGCUCUCGACCUAACACGUCGGGAGGUUGACUUAACCUACAAAAGAAGCACCGGCUAACUCUGUGCCAGCAGCCGCCGUAACAC
rnacentral:rRNA from 1 species